CGCACAGCCCCGUGUUGUCGUCCGACCCCCCCGACCCGACGGCAACGCGGGGCCCCUUA
rnacentral:sRNA from 1 species